AAUCAUUCGCCUUCUAAUUAAAGGCUAGUAUGAAAGGACAAACGAAAGCUAAACUGUCUCCCAUAGAUUCAAUAAAAAUUAACCUCCAGGUGAAGAGGCCUGGAUUUUCCUAAAGGACAAAAAGACCCUGUCGAGCUUUAUCUUUAAAAUUAAUUACAAAUACAUAAAAAUGAUAAUAUAUAACAUAAAAAGAUUAAGUUGGGGCGACUGAGGACCAUAAUAAAACGUCCUACCCAAUCAAGAACAAAAUUCAAUCCAAUGACCCACAACAAAGUGAACAUAUAAAUAAGCUACCGCAGGGAUAACAGACUAAUCCUCCUAAAGAGCCCAAAUUGACAGGAGGGA
rnacentral:rRNA from 1 species